AGAUGGCUGAUUUUGCUGUCCAGCGGUUUAAUAAACAGACUGUUGUCUUUUAACGUUACCCCGCCUGAGGCACGAACCAUCUCACCAUCCAGCGGAAUAUCCAGAUGUAAGCGACCAUUCACUUCGCCGCCAAUCUGCAAUUCCUGUAGCGCCGAACCCAGCGAAUCAUGCAGCGGCGUACCCAUGAAGUAGUCGCCGAUAUCUUUGCCCUGACCGCGCAGGUCGGCAUCGAUAAACAGCUUUUCUUUCAGGUAAUCAGGAAUAUUGGCGACCACAUUAUUGCCAUCAACAUUGCCCAGUCUGGUGUGCGCGGCUUUCAUAAACAGGCCGUCAUUGAGGAAAUCGAGAUCAAUAUCCAGAUCAGUCAGUGCCGGCCAGCCUGGCUGGAAUUCGAAAGUUGAGU
rnacentral:ncRNA from 1 species